UAGAGUUUGAUCAUGGCUCAGGAUAAACGCGGCGGCGUGUCCUUAGGUAUGCAAGUCGAACGGUUGAGUGUCGCAAGACCGAAAUAGUGGCGGACGGGUGAGUAAUGUAUAGGAAUCUACCCAAGAGUCGUGGAUAACCUGUCGAAAGACGGGCUAAUAUACGAUAGCCUCGCAAGAGUAAAGAGCUUAACUGCUCGCUUUUGGAGGAGCCUAUAUUCUAUCAGCUAGUUGGUGAGGUAAAGGCUCACCAAGGCUCUGACGGAUAGCUGGUCUGAGAGGAUGGUCAGCCACAGGGGCACUGAGACACGGGCGCCACACCUACGGGUGGCAGCAACCAGGAAUAUUGGGCAAUGGGGGAAACCCUGACCCAGCGACGCCGCGUGGAGGAUGACAGCCUUAGGGUUGUAAACUCCUUUUGCCAAGCCCUUCACAGCUUGGAGAAUAAGCCCUUACUAACUACGUGCCAGAAGUCUCGGUAAUACGUAGGGGGCAAGCGUUAUCCGGAUUNAUUGGGCGUAAAUGCGUGUGUAGGCGGUCAAGUCGCAGUUAAAAUCCUAUGGCUUAACCAUAGACCCGGCUGCGAUACUGGAUUACUAGAAGAUCGUCGGGAUACUGAACAGUGGUGUAGUGGUGAAAUACGUUGAUAUCAACUGGAACAGCAAAGGC
rnacentral:rRNA from 1 species